AGAUUGAACGCUGGCGGCAUGCCUAACACAUGCAAGUCGAACGGGAGUAGCAAUACUCUAGUGGCGGACGGGUGAGGAAUACGUAGGAAUUUGCCCUUAAGUGGGGGAUAACCCGGGGAAACCCGGAUUAAUACCGCAUGACCUCGAAAGAGCAAAGUGGGGGAUCGCAAGACCUCACGCUUUUGGAGAAGCCUACGUCGGAUUAGCUAGUUGGUGAGGUAAUGGCUCACCAAGGCGACGAUCCGUAACUGGUCUGAGAGGAUGAUCAGUCACACCGGAACUGAGACACGGUCCGGACUCCGUACGGGAGCAGCAGUGGGGAAUAGUUGGACAAGUGGGCGCAAGCCUGACUCCAAGCAAUCGCCGCGUGUGUAGAAGAAGGCCGUUCGGUUAGUAAAGUACGUACGUUUAAGUUAGGGAAAGUAAAAAC
rnacentral:rRNA from 1 species